rnacentral:rRNA from 1 species
UAUUAACAGAACCUUUCGGGGCGAAGAAUAUAGAAGUUAGUGGCGGACGGGUGCGUACCGCGUGGGUAAUCUGCCUUUGUCAAAGGAAUAACUAUUCGAAAGAAUAGCUAAAACCGUAUAACAUAUUAAUAGGGCAUCCUAAUAAUAUCAAAACGAUAGUGGACAAAGAUGAGCCCGCGUCUGAUUAGCUAGUUGGUGAGAUAAAAGCCCACCAAGGCAACGAUCAGUAGCCGACCUGAGAGGGUGAACGGCCACAUUGGAACUGAGACACGGUCCACUCUCCUACGGGAGGCAGCAGUGGGGAAUAUUGCACAAUGGGGGGAACCCUGAUGCAGCAACGCCGCGUCUGUGAAGAAGGCAUUCGUGUCGUAAAACUCUGUAGUGG